rnacentral:rRNA from 1 species
UACAGAGGGUGCGAGCGUUAAUCGGAAUUACUGGGCGUAAAGCGUGCGUAGACGGUUAUUUAAGUCGGGUGUGAAAGCCCCGGGCUCAACCUGGGAAUUGCAUUCGAGACUGAAUAGCUAGGGUACGGUAGAGGGAAGCGGAAUUUCCGGUGUAGCGGUGAAAUGCGUAGAUAUCGGAGGGAACAUCAGUGGCGAAAGCGGCUUCCUGGACCAGUACCGACGUUCAGGCACGAAAGCGUGGGGAGCAAACAGG